rnacentral:tRNA from 1 species
GAAAGGGUAGCCUAUUGUACAUGGUAUCUGCCCGAUAAGCGGAACACUGUGGGUUCGAUUCCCAUCCCUGGACACUUUA